rnacentral:tmRNA from 1 species
GGGGGUGUUCUGGCAUCGACGGGGUCGGGAAUGGAUGGAUCAGCAUACCGUGCACGCCUUUACGCACGUAAAUCUCAGGGCAAAACAAUAAAUGCAGAUAACUACGGUUACGCACUCGCCGCUUAAUUAGCCACGAGCGCCAAUACAGGGUUCUCCUGACGGUCCUGUAACGGCGUCGACACAGUCAGGAUAGUUGAUGCGCUGAUGGGGCAGCAUCGAUGAGCGUUCAAGUCCUCAUCUGCGGUCAGGGUGUUUUGAGUCCGGUCAAGAGCUCUGGCGUAAGGUAGAACACCGGACUAUGUAUGUAGAAGGUCUAUUGGUUUCCACUUCGGACCGGGGUUCGAAUCCCCGCACCUCCACAG